CCUACGGGGCGCAGCAGUGAGGAAUAUUGGUCAAUGGGCGAGAGCCUGAACCAGCCAAGUCGCGUGAGGGAGUACUGCCCUAUGGGUUGUAAACCUCUUUUGUCGGGGAGCAAAAGCCGGACGUGUCCGGCUGUGAGAGUACCCGAAGAAAAAGCAUCGGCUAACUCCGUGCCAGCAGCCGCGGUAAUACGGAGGAUGCGAGCGUUAUCCGGAUUUAUUGGGGUUAAAGGGUGCGCAGGCGGAUUUUUAAGUCAGCGGUCAAAUCGUGGGGCUCAACCCCAUCCAGCCGUUGAAACUGGGGAUCUAGAGUGUGCGAGAGGUAUGCGGAAUGCGUGGUGUAGCGGUGAAAUGCAUAGAUAUCACGCAGAACCCCGAUUGCGAAGGCAGCAUACCGGUGCACAACUGACGCUCAGGCACGAAAGCGUGGGUAUCGAACAGGAUUAGAUACCCGGGUAGUC
rnacentral:rRNA from 1 species